rnacentral:rRNA from 1 species
UCGACCUCAAAUCAGGUAGGACUACCCGCUGAACUUAAGCAUAUCAAUAAGCGGAGGAAAAGAAACUAACAAGGAUUCCCCUAGUAACUGCGAGUGAAGCGGGAAAAGCUCAAAUUUAAAAUCUGGCGUGCCUCCGGCCGUCCGAGUUGUAGUCUGGAGAAGCGUCUUCCGCGCUGGACCGUGUACAAGUCCCUUGGAACAGGGCGUCAUAGAGGGUGAGAAUUCCGUCUUUGACACGGACUACCAGUGCUCUGUGAUGCGCUCUCCAAGAGUCGAGUUGUUUGGGAAUGCAGCUCAAAAUGGGUGGUAAAUUCAUCUAAGGCUAAUACAGGCGAGAGA